UCCAGGGUAGCCUAGUGGACAUGGCAUCUGCCCGGUAAGUGGAACAUUGUGGGUUCGAUUCCCAUCCCUGGAU
rnacentral:tRNA from 1 species